rnacentral:lncRNA from 1 species
GGUCUUGUCAAUACGAAUAAUUUAAGCCCAAACACGAGGUAGUUUACAUAUUCAGUUGUCGAGUUCCCUCGACUUUCUCUGGUCUCCAUCAUCAGGUCAGCUCCAAACCUUCACUGUUGCAUAGGUCUUGUCAAUACAAAUAAUUUAAGCCCAAACACGAGGAAGUUUACAUAUUCAGUUGUCGAGUUCCCUCGACCCUCUCUGGUCUCCAUCAUCAGGUCAGCUCCAAACUUUCACUGUUGUAAAGUUCUUGUCAAUACAAAUAAUUUAAGCCCAAACACGAGGAAGUUUACAUAUUCAGUUGUCGAGUUCCCUCGACCCUCUCUGGUCUCCAUCAUCAGGUCAGGUCCAAAUCUUCACAGUUGAAUAGUGCUUUUAGGCGUACAUCUGAGUGUCAAGUUUUUACCCUAUGUGUGCCUACAACUUUUGAAGGUUGCCCUCGAUUUCUCAGGGUUUCCAUCAUCAGAUCCUGACCUGAUGACUAUGGGACCAACUGGCAGCUAUUCCGAGUCGAACAAAAAAAGAAUCACGUAAAUCGGUCUAUAAACCUCGGAGUAAUCGAUGU